AUACGGAGGGUGCAAGCGUUGUUCGGAAUCACUGGGCGUAAAGGGCGCGCAGGCGGUUUGGUAAGUCAGAUGUGAAAGCCCAUGGCUCAACCAUGGAAGUGCAUUUGAAACUGUCAGACUUGAGUACUAGAGGGGAAAGUGGAAUUCCCGGUGUAGGGGUGAAAUUCGUAGAUAUCGGGAGGAAUACCGGUGGCGAAGGCGACUUUCUGGCUAGAUACUGACGCUGAGGCGCGAAAGCGUGGGGAGCAAACAGGAUUAGAAACCCCAGUAGUCC
rnacentral:rRNA from 1 species